GACGAACGCUGGCGGCGUGCUUAACACAUGCAAGUCGAACGAAGAGCGAUGGAUGCUUGCUUCUAUCAAUCUUAGUGGCGAACGGGUGAGUAACGCGUAAUCAACCUGCCCUUCAGAGGGGGACAACAGUUGGAAACGACUGCUCAUACCGCAUACGAUCUAAUCUCGGCAUCGAGGAUAGAUGAAAGGUGGCCUCUACAUGUAAGCUAUCACUGCAGGAGGGGAUUGCGUCUGAUUAGCUAGUUGGAGGGGUAACGGCCCACCAAGGCGAUGAUCAGUAGCCGGUCGGAGAGGAUGAACGGCCACAUUGGGACGGAGACACGGCCCAGACUCCUACGGGAGGCAGCAGGGGGGAAUCUUCCGCAAUGGACGAAAGUCUGACGGAGCAACGCCGCGGGAGGGAUGACGGCCGUCGGGUUGUAAAGCUCUGUUAAUCGGGACGAAAGGCCUUCUUGCGAAUAGGGAGAAGGAUUGACGGUACCGGAAUAGAAAGCCACGGCUAACUACGUG
rnacentral:rRNA from 1 species